UAAAUCAGUUGUCGUUUGUUUGAUUGUACGUGCUACUCGGAUAACUAUAGUGAUUCUAGAGCUAAUGCGUGCAAC
rnacentral:rRNA from 1 species